rnacentral:rRNA from 1 species
AGUGAACGCUGGCGGCGUGCUUAACACAUGCAAGUCGAGCGGUCUUCAGCAGCGUAUCGCUGAAGGCAGCGGCAGACGGGUGAGUAACAUUUGGGUAAUCUACCUUUUAGUGAGAGGCAACCUGCCGAAAGGCGGGCUAAUAUCUCAUAAGACCACGGGAUCGCAUGAUUCUGAGGUUAAAGCUCCGCAAGGGGCGCUAGACGAGGAGCCCGAAUUCAUCAGGUAGUUGGUGAGGUAAUGGCUCACCAAGCCUUUGACGGAUAGCCGGCCUGAAAGGGUGAUCGGCCACACUGGGCACUGAGACACGGGCCAGACUCCUACGGGAGGCAGCAGUGGGGAAUUUUGGACAAUGGGGCAACCCUGAUCCAGCGACGCCGCGUGAAGGAUGAAGGUCUUCGGAUUGUAAACUUCUUUUGAAGGGAUGAAUGCCUGGUGAAUAGCCAGGGGUGACAGUACUCUUCGAAUAAGCCACGGCUAACUACGUGCCA